rnacentral:rRNA from 1 species
GCUUGUCUCAAAGAUUAAGCCAUGCAUGUCUAAGUACAAGCCUCAGUAAGGUGAAACCGCGAAUGGCUCAUUAAAUCACACCUAAUCUACUGGAAAGUUACUAGUUACUUGGAUAACUGAGGUAAUUCUUGAGCUAAUACAUGCGAAAAAUCUCGACUCACGGAGAGAUGCUUUUAUUAGAUCAAAACCAAACGGCUUCGGCCGUCUCAUUGGUGACUCUGAAUAACUUUGGGCUGAUCGUAUGGCCUUGUGCCGACGACGUUUCCUUCGAAGGUGUGCCCUAUCAGCUAUCGUCGGUAGGGUAUUGGCCUACCGUGGCAAUGACGGGUAACGGAGAAUUAGGGUUCGAUUCCGGAGAGGGAGCCUGAGAAAUGGCUACCACAUCCAAGGAAGGCAGCAGG